rnacentral:rRNA from 1 species
CACGCAGGCGGUUGGAUAAGUUAGAUGUGAAAGCCCCGGGCUCAACCUGGGAACUGCAUCCAAAACUGGCAAGCUAGAGUACGGUAGAGGGUGGUGGAAUUUCCUGUGUAGCGGUGAAAUGCGUAGAUAUAGGAAGGAACACCAGUGGCGAAGGCGACCACCUGGACUGAUACUGACACUGAGGUGCGAAAGCGUGGGGAGCAAACA